CCCACGUCCCAUCUUUGGUCCAGUAAAUUCACCUUUCUACCCCGAUCAAUUCACACCAUGUCGACCACAACCCUAACCCUAUCCCUUUCGACGGUUCCACUUGCACCCUACCCCAACCCCAUCCAUCGUAACCCGCCGCCGCCGCGAUAGAUGCCAAUCCUGCCGCCGCAUCCAACCCCGCCCGACGUGGACGCCAGAGAGGUGCACGACUGCCGCAACUCGUGGCACUCAGUGUGGUGGUCGUCCAAGCUCGUCCUCUAGCUCAGCCUCAACGCCUUCAGCUUCCUCGUGCCGUCGCCGCUCGCCUAGAUCUACGAUGCAAUGGUGAGUGGCUCUGUGAGGAGGCACACAAGCUCACAUUGACGGCAGCAAGAACGGUGUCGCCUCCUUGGUGGCAGCCACCGCGUCCACGACGACGACGGAUGCUGGCGUCGCCUGCUUCGACCUGUUGCCUCUCGUCGUCCUCUCCCCUGGCUGUAUUUGCCCCGUCCCCGGUAUAUCCGCCGCCGCCGAGCAGGCCGAGCUCUGAAGCACUGUCGUCCGCGGCCAUCACCACCCCACCCAGGAGGUGAGGAAAGGGGCAGGAAGCAUGCAUACCCGAUCGACGGCCUCUUCGUUUUGGUGUAUUAAUUAUUUGUUGUGGUAGCUAAUUCGUUCUGCCGAUGCUGAUGUUUGUGCUUGACCAGGGUGGGCUGAACAAGUUCCAUGGCCAGCAUGCGCUCAGGGAGCGAGCGAGGAAGCUCGACCAGGGCAUCCUGAUUAUAAGGUUUGACAUGCCUUUUAACAUUUGGUUUUGUGAUACACUGCCCAUGUAUCCAGAAGGCAAACUAGAUUCUGAUGUAUGCAUAUUAAAAUUGCCGAUAUCAAAUAAAUCGUCCAUGAGUUGUCCUAGAGUUUCCAGUGUUAAGGAUAUGCAUUGAAUCAAUUUUCUAUGUUUUUCAGAAUGAUGGACAAGGUACACCACCACAACAAUAGGAUUUUUUUACACCCUGGUUAUCUUGUUUUAAUUCAUCCUUUCUGCGCUCCAAUUAUUUUGGUGAAUCUUAGCAUAGAAUUUGACCUUCUAUUAUUUUGUAUGUUUGGUUAGCAUGGGAUGUAUUUAUGAACAUUGAUAUCGUUUUUUAUGCUUACUGACAGAAUGCAUAUGGUCUGCAAAUGGAGAAUUUGCUAUUGCUCAAUGAAGUGGCGGCAUGCUCCAAAAUCCUAGUGAGACCUCUGCACCUUUGGUCAGAUCCCAGGCCUAGGAUGUCCAUGUUGUGUGUAUGUACCAACAGCUAAAAUGUAAACACGACAUUAUCAUAGUUGAGUACAUGAAUAAUUAUCUAUUAUAUCUUAUUGCAAAAUUUGAAACAGUUCUUCUGUAGAUGGUUACCUUGCAUCUUACGCUACAAUUAGCUCAGAUCACUUCUUGUUGUAUCUUACACCAAUUUACGAAA